UGAGGAAUAUUGGUCAAUGGACGGAAGUCUGAACCAGCCAAGUAGCGUGCAGGAUGACGGCCCUAUGGGUUGUAAACUGCUUUUGUAUGGGGAUAAAGUUAGGGACGUGUCCCUAUUUGCAGGUACCAUACGAAUAAGGACCGGCUAAUUCCGUGCCAGCAGCCGCGGUAAUACGGAAGGUUCAGGCGUUAUCCGGAUUUAUUGGGUUUAAAGGGAGCGUAGGCUGGAGAUUAAGUGUGUUGUGAAAUGUAGACGCUCAACGUCUGAAUUGCAGCGCAUACUGGUUUCCUUGAGUACGCACAACGUUGGCGGAAUUCGUCGUGUAGCGGUGAAAUGCUUAGAUAUGACGAAGAACUCCGAUUGCGAAGGCAGCUGACGGGAGCGCAACUGACGCUUAAGCUCGAAGGUGCGGGUAUCAAACAGGAUUAGAUACCCUGGUAGUCCGCACAGUAAACGAUGGAUGCCCGCUGUUGGUACCUGGUAUCAGCGGCUAAGCGAAAGCAUUAAGCAUCCCACCUGGGGAGUACGCCGGCAACGGUG
rnacentral:rRNA from 1 species